rnacentral:rRNA from 1 species
GACGAACGCUGGCGGCGUGCUUAACACAUGCAAGUCGAACGGAAAGGCCCUGCUUUUGUGGGGUGCUCGAGUGGCGAACGGGUGAGUAACACGUGAGUAACCUGCCCUUGACUUUGGGAUAACUUCAGGAAACUGGGGCUAAUACCGGAUAGGAGCUCCUGCUGCAUGGUGGGGGUUGGAAAGUUUCGGCGGUUGGGGAUGGACUCGCGGCUUAUCAGCUUGUUGGUGGGGUAGUGGCUUACCAAGGCUUUGACGGGUAGCCGGCCUGAGAGGGUGACCGGCCACAUUGGGACUGAGAUACGGACCAGACUCGUACGGGAGGCAGCAGUGGGGAAUAUUGCACAAUGGGAGGAAGCCUGAUGAAGCAACGCCGCGUGCGGGAUGACGGCCUUCGGGUUGUGAACCGCUUUCGCCUGUGACGAAGCGUGAGUGACGGUAAUGGGUAAAGAAGCACCGGCUAACUACGUG